GACGAACCGUGCGAACGUUAUUCGGAAUCACUGGGCUUAAAGCGCGUGUAGGCGGGCCGCCACGUCGGCUGCUGAAAUCCCCCGGCUCAACCGGGGAAGUGGCACCGAUACGAGCGGCCUCGAGGGGGGUAGGGGCGUGCGGAACUGUGGGUGGAGCGGUGAAAUGCGUUGAUAUCCACAGGAACUCCGGUGGCGAAGGCGGCACGCUGGACCCCUUCUGACGCUGAGGCGCGAAAGCCAGGGGAGCGAACGGG
rnacentral:rRNA from 1 species